rnacentral:rRNA from 1 species
GACGAACGCUGGCGGCGUGCUUAACACAUGCAAGUCGAACGGAAAGGCCCCCAUCUUGGUGGGGGUGCUCGAGUGGCGAACGGGUGAGUAACACGUGGGUGAUCUGCCCUGUACUUCGGGAUAAGCUUGGGAAACUGGGUCUAAUACCGGAUAGGACCAUGGUUUAGUGUCUCAUGGUGGAAAGAUUAUUGUUUUGGUGCAGGAUGAGCUCGCGGCCUAUCAGCUUGUUGGUGGGGUAAUGGCCUACCAAGGCGUCGACGGGUAGCCGGCCUGAGAGGGUGGACGGCCACAUUGGGACUGAGAUACGGCCCAGACUCCUACGGGAGGCAGCGGUGGGGAAUAUUGCACAAUGGGCGCAAGCCUGAUGCAGCGACGCCGCGUGGGGGAUGACGGCCUUCGGGUUGUAAACUCCUUUCGUUAGGAACGGAGCCGCACUUUUUUUGGGUGUGGUGACGGUACCUUUGUUAAGAAGCACCGGCUAACUACGUG